UACGGGGGGAGCAAGCGUUGUUCGGAUUUACUGGGCGUAAAGGGCGCGUAGGCGGUAGCACAAGUCAGUUGUGAAAUCUCCGGGCUUAACUCGGAAAGGUCAACUGAUACUGUGCGACUAGAGUGCAGAAGGGGCAACUGGAAUUCUCGGUGUAGCGGUGAAAUGCGUAGAUGUCGAGAGGAACACCUGCGGCGAAGGCGGGUUGCUGGGCUGACACUGACGCUGAGGCGCGAAAGCCAGGGGAGCGAACGGG
rnacentral:rRNA from 1 species